GUGAAUCAUCGAAUUUUUGAACGCAAAUUGCACUCUCUUCGGAGAGUAUGCCUGUUUGAGGGUCAGCCUAUAAAAAAUCGACAUCGUUGCUGUUUCGCGGUGGCGUUCGUCGGAAAUUGGGUCAUCUUAAAUCCUUUUGGUUUUUAAGCGACUUAAAAUUUUCUUUUUGGUUCCAUGAACGUUUCUAAGAUUUUUUUCUUUACUCGUUUAAGGAAUCGAUGUUAUUAGACUUGACCAUCAUAUCGGAUCCUGUCCAUAAUCUUUCAUUAACUGACAUCAGACAGGUAAGA
rnacentral:misc_RNA from 1 species